rnacentral:rRNA from 1 species
UGGUAGUGUAUUGGACUACCAUGGCGUUUACGGGUAACGGAGGAUUAGGGUUCGAUUCCGGAGAGGGAGCCUGAGAAACGGCUACCACAUCUAAGGAAGGCAGCAGGCGCGUAAAUUACCCAAUCCUGACUCAGGGAGGUAGUGACAAGAAAUAGCGGACAGAGACCCUUGUGGUUUCUGGAUUGCAAUGAGCCGAAUUUACACCCCUUAGCGAAUGUCGAUUGGAGGGCAAGUCUGGUGCCAGCAGCCGCGGUAAUUCCAGCUCCAAUAGCGUAUAUUAAAGUUGUUGCAGUUAAAAAGCUCGUAGUUGGAUUUCUGAUAGAGUGCCAAUGUCCGCUUUAUGCGUGUGCAGCGGCGCUCUAUCAUCCUUCUGUUAACAUUACUCGGCAUGCAUUUGCCGGUAAUGGGCUCAGAUAUUUUACCUUGAGAAAAUUAGAGUGUUUCAGGCAGGCUAAGCCGGAAUACAUUAGCAUGGAAUAAUGGAAUAGGACUGAGGUCUCUUUGUUGGUUUGAGGGACUCCAGUAAUGAUUAAUAGGGACAGUUGGGGGCAUUAGUAUUUAAUAGUCAGAGGUGGAAUUCUCAGAUUUGUUAAAGACUAACCUAUGCGUAAGCAUUUGCCAAGGA